rfam:Picea glauca, whole genome shotgun sequence.
AGGUGCGAUCAUACCAGCGUUAAUGCACCAGAUCCAAUAAGAAAUCCGCAAUUAAGCACGCUUGGGCUAGAUUAGUACUAGGAUGGGUGACCUCUCGGGAAUCCUUAGUGUUGCACCCU